rnacentral:lncRNA from 1 species
GGGUCAUCAUCCACAGUACCUCUGGACAAGGAGGAAAAGAACCAUUUCCACUAACCCCUGGAUGGAGGUGCAGGGAGCGUCAAUAGUAUCCCUGAAAACUUCAAAUGCACCAGGGGGGUCAGCACCCAGGGAAGAGCCACAGGAGGCCACUCUGAUGGAUUCUGAUGACUAUCUUUGCUCAAGUGUUAGGAGGAGGCUUCUUUCUCUCUGCCUCUGGCAACCCUGGGCCCAAGAAGUCCCAGGCACUCCGGAGGUCCUUCCUGCUCAUCACAGCCCCACCCAAGAGGCCUGGCUCACUCUGCAAUGAUGAUGUGAGAAUGAGCAGGUCUGCCUAGUGCCAGAGCCUGUGGUUGGAUUUUCGGCUGAGGCCAAGAGAAAUAAACAAGCCUCCUCCUUCCCUCUGCACGCUACAGGAAGAGCAGCUCGCUGGCUGCAAGGGGACCCUCCACCCUGCCUAUGGGGCACAGCAGCCCACAGCAUUCCUUCCAGAAACGGAGCACUGGCAGGCCUGGGUCCCUGUAAGAUGGAACACAAAGGGGUGGGCAGCUGACCUCAACAGCCAGCCCUUGGGAUUCCAAACCUUCUCUUAUCCCCCAACUUUGUGAUGUUAAUUUCUCCCUGGAUAAAGCUCUCUAACAACCUGGCAAGCCAGCACCAGCUGAACCAGCCCCAGCUUGAACCAGCAGCUUUCCCCAGCCCAGCUACAGUCUCAUCCCUCCAGAAGGGAAAAGAAGUCCUACGGAUUCCUUUACAAGGAACCUCCAGAAUCUGCUAUGGUGUCCGCAGGGGACAUUGGCACCAACUCUGGGUUUAUUAAAUGUAGUGGGUUCAACAGUGUCCCCCAAAACGAUAUGUCUUAAGUCCUAACUCCUGGAACCUGCGAACAUGAUCACAUUUGGAAAACGGAUCUUUGCAGAUGUAAUUAAAAAAAAAAGCGCCUAACACCAGGGGCCACUUGGCCCAGGUGGAGCCUCCAUUAAUCACGGGGCUCUCUGUGUUGUGGCCCCAAGGCGGGCAGCCGAUGGCCUCUGCCCGAGCCAAUAUGAGCUGCAGCCUAAUUACAGGGGACGGUGACCCCAGGGAGCAGAGUUCAGGCUCCGGUCACAGCUGCACCCAGGAGCCAGCUGCUUCCCAGACCUGCAGAGCCAGGGGAGAGGUUUGGAGGACCGGCACUGAAUGACAUGAUCCAAAGCGCGCCAAGCUGGGCUGGAGGUGACGGCAGAGCCACAGUGGCCACAGAGCCCCCACGUGAACCUACACGGAUCUGCCUGGUUUAGGUUCUGCUGAACUCCAGGGUGAGGAGGACCUGGUCUCCAUUCUCAAAGACAUGAAGAGGUUGACAAAGAAGAGUCACAGAAGUGACAAGUGUCCUGCUCCCAGCCCCGUUCACACACUCACCCAUCAAGUGUGGCAGGGACAGCCGCCUCUUACCAUCCACCUUGGGACCUGGACCUAAGUGGAGGUUUCUGGAGGGGCAGAUCCAGGGGAAAGGGUCUCCUCAGAAGCAGCCGCCAUUCAGAGGACCUGAGAUGAGAACCUCAUCACGCCCUCAUCAGACAGAGGAGAUCCGCGGUGUCUCCGAGCCUGGUCUCCCACUCCCCACCCAGCAGCGUUCCCUCCGCUCACCCCAAGCUUAGAACAUUCUGCUUCCCCUAAGAUCAGCUGCCGCAGUGGACUGAAUAGUGACCCCCAAAAGACAUGCCAGAGCCCUAGCCCUCGGACCUGUGAAUGUGACAGGAGUUGGAAUAGGGUCUUUGCAGAUGCAAUAAAGGAUCUCAAGAGGAGAGUAUCCUGGAUUUAGGGUGGGCUCUAAAUGCAAUGACAAGCAUCCUUACGAGACACAGAGACACAGAGAAAAGGCCAUGUGAAGACGGAGCAGGGAGUGGCGUGACGCAUCUACAUGCCCAGGAGCACCCGGGAGCCACCAGAAGCUGGGAGAGAGGCCUGGGCCGGAGCCUCCCGCAGAGGCCCCAAAGGAUCAGCCUGGUCGACACCUUGAUUUUGGACUUCUGGCCUCUAGAACCAUCUUCAGCCCCCAAAGUUCGUGGGGCUUUGUUGCAGCAGCCCCAGCAAACUGUCACGGGGGCCCUCCUCCCCUGCUAAGCCUGGUACCCAAAGCUCCCCAGCUAUCUGGGGCUAACCACACUGACCCUGGGACUUUCAGGUCACCCGUGUGUCCCACUCUUCUGCUUAACCUUCAGUGCCUGUGUGGUCACAGCUUCUCUCUCGUGAUAUGAGUCCUCUGGGCCUCUGAGUGCUCAUCUGCCCUGCACUGAAGGCUGAAGUUAAAUCCUGGAGAGAACUGACCCCUCUUGUGGGCAGGGCAGGCACUGUGCCCCCAGCACAGCCAGAGGGUACUGGCUGAAAUGUGUCCCUGUAAAGUGUCUCCCCUAUGCCCGUAUUUUCCUUCCAAGUGGGGAAGCCAGAGAGGCCUCCCCGAUCUUUCCCCCAGCCCCCUGGGGCAGGAAGCCUGUGGUCACCUGUCCGCAAGGAUCAGGUGGACAGACAACUAGCCCCUCCCAGGCCACACCUCAUCAACAGAGGGCCCCUCAAUUCUGCUGGUGGCCUAUGAGAGAAGGAAAAACUGAAGGAGUUGUUUACAGUAAACUCCAAACCCUUGUGCCAGAGAGGCCCAUGGCUGAGCAAGGUACCCCCACCCCCACUGCCCUGAGCUGCCAACUCAGCCCAGCUCAGCACUGUGACCUCUGACCUGCCUGUGGGCCACGGGAGCCUGGCCUGCCAAUCAGCAUCUCCCAGAUACCCAUCUUGUGAAGUCCCCAGUGGCUGAGUGCUUCCCCGCCCUUCCCGGACAGCGUGGGCUACAGGGGACAUUGGGCAGGAAGACAGCCAAGCCUCCAGGUUUCAGCCAAGUUAUCCCCAGCAUGGCUGCUUGCGUGGGAAGCCCACAGCUGAGGGACUGUCUGCACGUGGCAUGCAGGAGUCACAAGCGCCAUCUACACCCCACCCCGGGCCAGGCAGAUGACCUCUCUGGUCUCAGUUUCCUGAUGAGGAACAGGAAGGGCUGGACCGAAAGAUCCCUUCCAGCCCGGACAUGGAAUGACCCCACGAGGGCCACGGUGAGGUCUGUCCCAGCUCCGCACACUAGCUCGGGCCAGCAGUUUCCAAAGGCACAGCCGCAGGGGCCUUGGAGCAGGGACAAGGAGGACCAGCCCACUUCACCCUCCUGGGCAGAGGUCAAGGACCCUGCCUUUGGCCCACAUUCCUUGUGGCCAAAAAUGCAGAAGCAAGCAGUGCUGGCAGAGGCACCUAGACCUUUGGGCAAAGCAGGGGCUCCACCUGACACCCCAGGCCUGGAGCACGAGAAAACCAGCCCAGGCCUCAGGUCCCCUGACUGCCAGCGACCAGGGAAUGUGACACUUUCCGGCCUCUGCUUCCUCAUCUCUCAAUCCUAGGGGGAGAUUAGGUUGGGUGAUGUGUUUUUCUUUUUGACAG